CAGCGCCACGAGUGGCAAUCAUGUAUUUGGCCUAAAGCGUCCGUAGCCGGUUUGGCAAAUCUUCUGUGAAAUCGAGCAGCUCAACUGUUCGGCGGGCAGGAGACACUACCAAACUUGGAACCGGGAGGGGUACAGAGUAUUCCAGGGGAAGCGGUAAAAUGCUAUAAUCCCUGGAGGACUACCUAUGGCGAAGGCACUGUACCAGAACGGAUUCGACGGUGAGGGACGAAAGCCAGGGGAGCGAUCCGGAUUAGAUACCCGCGUAGUCC
rnacentral:rRNA from 1 species